rnacentral:tRNA from 1 species
GGGGCUGUAGCUCAGUGGUAGAGUGCUCGCCUAGCAUGUGUGAGGAACUGGGUUCCAUCCUCAGCACCA